UACGGAGGGCGCAAGCGUUGUUCGGAAUCAUUGGGCGUAAAGCGCGUGCAGGCGGCUUGGUAAGUCGGGUGUGAAAUCCCGGGGCUCAACCCCGGAACUGCACCCGAUACUGCCUCGCUAGAGUCCCGGAGAGGAUGGCGGAAUUUCCGGUGUAGAGGUGAAAUUCGUAGAUAUCGGAAGGAACACCAGCGGCGAAGGCGGCCAUCUGGACGGUGACUGACGCUCAGACGCGAAAGCGUGGGGAGCAAACAGG
rnacentral:rRNA from 1 species